CCGGUGGAGUUCUUAUAUAUAUUAAAUACUUGUAUUUAUAUGUAUUCCUCCUAUUUAAACCUGCUUCAGUGCUCUUCAUUGCGUGCUGUUGUAGGCCGGUACAAUUACCUUGAACAAAUUAGAGUGCUUAAAGCAGGCUCCAAAUGCCUGAAUAUUUUGUGCAUGGAAUAAUGAAAUAAGACCUCUGUUCUACUUUCAUUGGUUUUUAGAUCAAGAGGUAAUGAUUAAUAGAAGCAGUUUGGGGGCAUUAGUAUUACGACGCGAGAGGUGAAAUUCUUGGACCGUCGUAAGACUAACUUAAGCGAAAGCAUUUGCCAAAGAUGUUUUCAUUAAUCAAGAACGAAAGUUAGAGGUUCGAAGGCGAUCAGAUACCGCCCUAGUUCUAACCAUAAACGAUGCCAGCUAGCAAUUGGGUGUAGCUACUAUUAUGGCUCUCUCAGUCGCUUCCCGGGAAACCAAAGCUUUUGGGCUCCGGGGGAAGUAUUGUUGCAAAGCUGAAACUUAAAGGAAUUGACGGAAGGGCACCACCAGGAGUGGAGCCUGCGGCUUAAUUUGACUCAACACGGGAAAACUUACCAGGUCCGAACAUAAGCGUGUAAGACAGAUUGAUAGCUCUUUCUCGAAUCUAUGGGUGGUGGUGCAUGGCCGUUCUUAGUUCGUGGAGUGAUUUGUCUGGUUAAUUCCGAUAACGAACGAGACUCAAAUAUAUUAAAUAGAUGCCUUCAGGAUUAUGGUGUUUGAAGCUUUUAUAGCCUUCAUUCAUGAAUGCAGUAACAUGUGUGAGUGUUUGAAUGUGUUUAUAAAGGUGGAGCCGUACCUGUUGGUUUGUCCCAUUAUAAGGACACUAGCUUCUUAAAUGGACAAAUUGCGUCUAGCAAUAAUGAGAUUGAGCAAUAACGGGUCUGUGAUGCCCUUAGAUGUCCUGGGCUGCACGCGCGCUACAAUGAAAGUAUCAACGUGUAUUUCCUAGACCGAGAGGUCCGGGUAAACCGCCGAACCACUUUCAUGCUUGGGAUUGUGAACUGAAACUGUUCACAUGAACUUGGAAUUCCCAGUAAGUGUGAGUCAUUAACUCGCAUUGAUUACGUCCCUGCCCUUUGUACACACCGCCCGUCGCUACUACCGAUUGAAUUAUUUAGUGGGGUCUCCGGACGUGAUCACUGUAACGCCUUGCGUGUUACGGAUGUUUCGCAAAAGUUGACCGAACUUGAUUAUUUAGAGGAAGUAAAAGUC
rnacentral:rRNA from 1 species